rnacentral:rRNA from 1 species
AGAGUUUGAUCCUGGCUCAGGAUGAACGCUAGCGGCAGGCCUAAUACAUGCAAGUCAAGGGGUAGCAAUACACCGGCGGACGGGUGCGUAACGCGUACAGAACAUACCCUUAAGCGGGGGAUAGCAUUGGGAAACUGGUGGUAAUACCCCAUAACAUUCGAGAUUUGGCAUCAAAUUUCAAUUAAAGUUCCGGCGCUUAAGGAUUGCUGUGCGUCCGAUUAGCUAGUUGGUGGGGUAACGGCCCACCAAGGCGACGAUCGGUAGGGGGUGUGAGAGCAUGACCCCCCACACGGGUACUGAGGCACGGACCCGACUCCUACGGGAGGCAGCAGUAAGGAAUAUUGGACAAUGGAGGCAACUCUGAUCCAGCCAUGCCGUGUGAAGGAUGAAGGCGCUCAGCGUUGAAAACUUCUUUUGGAUAGGAACAAAACACCCGAUGCGUCGGGUACUGAGGGUACUAUCAGAAUAAGCACCGGCUAACUCCGUGCCAGCAGCCGCGGUAAUACGGAGGGUGCAAGCGUUAUCCGGAAUCACUGGGUUUAAAGGGUGCGUAGGCGGCUCGAUAA